rnacentral:rRNA from 1 species
GAUGAACGCUGGCGGCGUGCUUAAUACAUGCAAGUCGAACGAAGUCAGUAGCAAUAUUGGCUGAGUGGCGAAUGGGUGAGUAACGCGUUGGUGACCUGCCCCAAAGAGAGGGAUAACAGUUCGAAAGGACUGCUAAUACCCCAUGUGGCUGCAAGGGUUAGAGACCUUGCAACUAAAGGAGCAAUCCGCUUUGGGAGGGGCCUGCGUCCCAUCAGCUAGUUGGUAGGGUAAUGGCCUACCAAGGCAACGACGGGUAGGGGGCCUGAGAGGGUGGUCCCCCACACUGGCACUGAAACACGGGCCAGACACCUACGGGAGGCAG